UACGAAGGGGGCUAGCGUUGCUCGGAAUCACUGGGCGUAAAGCGCACGUAGGCGGCUUUCUAAGUCAGGGGUGAAAUCCUGGAGCUCAACUCCAGAACUGCCUUUGAUACUGGAGAGCUUGAGUCCGGGAGAGGUGAGUGGAACUCCGAGUGUAGAGGUGAAAUGCGUAGAUAUCGGGAGGAACACCAGUGGCGAAGGCGAGUCCCUGGACAAUUCCUGACGCUCAGGCACGAAAGCUAGGGGAGCAAACAGG
rnacentral:rRNA from 1 species